UCCACAUCCUGACUACGGAGCUGUACGUAUAACCGCGUCUGCUCGUUCCGAAACUGGAGAAAUGGUGAAUCUUUGCAGUGUUAUUGGCUGUGGUCAUCGCUACAGCCGAGACAGAAAUGCAAGAAUUUUUGCACCCAGCUGUAUCAUAGCCCAUUCCCACAAAAAAGUGUAGAAAAGAGAAAUUUGAUUUAAAAGAACGACGAGAAUGGCUGAGUUCGAUUGGAAGCAAGAUCACUGAAAGCACUCCAAAAUCAUGGCUUCGCGUUUGCUUCGUUCACUUUCUGUCAGGAAAUCAGCAGAUCUCCAUGUCUGCAAAAUUCUGACUGGAUGCCGUCUAGCUGUCAGUUUGGGUCACAACAAUGGCUGUAGCAUUCAAACACCUCAGACAGAGGAGCAACAGAAAUCUGUGGCAGAUUAAGUGGCAGAUUUGUAGAUGUAGAUUGAGCACCCUAGUGGUUAUAAACUGGAAUAUGAAGAUGAAGAGACACAGACAUUACAAUAGUGCAUAUUGAUAGUAAACUGGAUGUUGUCAAGCAGGACACAGCAGAGAAUGCUUAUUUCAAAAAGAAACUCAAAGAAAAGAUAUCCACUCUGAUUGUACAAAGGGUUAUAUUGUACAAACUGGCCAAAUAUGGCGCUCUGAGAUUUGAUUAACAUGACUGUAUAAAACCUGAAAGACAGCUAUAGUUCGCGAUCAAAGUUUCAGAAGAUGAAGAAACCAAGAUCUGAGUAACGGUAGUUCCUGUUUUAACUAAUAAUGUUGAGAUGAGGGAGGAUUAAGCAGAGAUGGGGCUACUGACCAUGGCAGUAUGGCAUGGAGGAAUGAGUGUGAAGAUUAGAAAUGUGGUAGAUACAGUGGUGAAAGAUGAUGGGGAAAGACACAGAGGUUUGGCUGAGUUGUACAAGUGAUGCAUUGUAACCAAAAUCAAGAUAGUUGAGAAAGUGAUCACACACAUUGUUGAGAUGAUGUUUGUGCAGUAUUUCAUUCUUGUUUAUCAUACUGUUCGUAUGCAUCUGCUAAGCUGCGUCCAUGUUUUAAUUUUCUUUUUUUUUGAGAGAAUAAAGUUGUCUUAAGCAUGUCA